UACGUAGGGUGCGAGCGUUAAUCGGAAUUACUGGGCGUAAAGCGAGCGUAGUCGGUUAUUUAAGUCGGGUGUGAAAGCCCCGGGCUCAACCUGGGAAUUGCAUUCGAUACUGGAUAGCUAGAGUUCGGCAGAGGGAAGCGGAAUUUCCGGUGUAGCGGUGAAAUGCGCAGAUAUCAGGAGGAACACCGAUGGCGAAGGCAGGUCUCUGGGCCAUAACUGACGCUGAGAAGCGAAAGCAUGGGGAGCGAACAGG
rnacentral:rRNA from 1 species